rnacentral:rRNA from 1 species
AAGCUCGUAGUUGAAUUUCGGGGUCAGUAGGUUGGUCGUGCCACCGGUACGUACUGGUCUCACUGAUUCCUCCUUCCUGAUGAGCUGUAAUGCCAUUAAUUUGGUGUUGCAGGGAAUCUGGACUGCUACUUUGAAAAAAUUAGAGUGUUUAAAGCAGGCUAACGCUUGAAUACAUUAGCAUGGAAUAAUGAAAUAGGACGUUCGAUCCUAUUUUGUUGGUUUCUAGGAUUGACGUAAUGAUUAAUAGGGAUAGUUGGG